rnacentral:pre_miRNA from 1 species
CAAAUACUCCCUCCGUCCAGAAAUACUUGUCAUCAAAAUGGAUAAAAUGAAAUGUAUCUAGACGUAUUUUAGUUUUAGAUACAUCUCUUUUAUCCAUUUUGAUGACAAGUAUUUUCGGACGGAGGGAGUAGAAA